AAAAUAUUUCUAUGGUCUUUUUAGAGUUGCCAACAGAAAGGAAGGAGGGGAGAGCAGUGGGCAGCUUACAUUCCAUAAAUGUUUUCAAAGAUAGUUUCUAGGUGACUGAAGUUUCUGCCACACAAUAUUCUAACUGGAGAUUAUGAUUGAUGACUCUUGGCUAUGGA